AUGGAUGGGCUUGUGGAGCUUGACGUUGCACACACGGUUGGUAGUUCCUUUCUUGGAUUUGUUCUCGAAGAGCUUCCUCUUGAUUGCGCCGUUCGCGAUUGCGGUUGGCGAUGGCUCGACUUGAUUCUUGAAGGGCACGUUGCGCCUCAAAAGCUUGCACUUCUCGUUGUUAUUGUUGAAGACGUUGAGCCUCGACAUCUUGUUCUUCUUGGUGUCGACGCGCUCGUUCUUCUUCUUGGCGCCGUAGUCAUUGCCGUUCUUGAGCUUGAGCAAAAGCCACUUGGUUUGAUUGAGGACGAGGGACUUGCUCAUCGACUUGCUCUUAUGAAUGCUUGUCUUGUAGUGGGUUCCGAGGUGCAUGACGGUCUUGAUGCGCGGCUCGUCGAGGAAUGGUCGAAGACGGUGUACUUAAGCCGGAGAAGGUGUCAUCGGAGUGUCGACUCGAGCGGCUCCGUCUUGAGGAGGAAGAAGUGGAAUGAUGCCGGUUCCUCAUCAAGGCGCGGAUCUCGUCCAUUCUUGCAUCAUUUUCUUGCUUGUGAGAGUCGAACUUGUCAUCGAAGUAGUCUCUUGUACGUUGCUCGGAGAGUCGCAAGUCGGUGGCGAGGUUGUCGAUGCGGUCGCUCAUAG
rnacentral:rRNA from 1 species